UAACGCAGAAAAUGUAUUUGAGUCUGUUAUUAUUUACAACACUUCAUAUAUGUAUAUAUAUAUAUAUAUAUAACAUCUCCUGAUAUCCUGUAGCGUACAAUUUGUCCUUUACAAAAUCAAUUUCAUU